rfam:Salmo salar isolate Sally breed double haploid chromosome ssa12, whole genome shotgun sequence.
GGGCCAGUGGCCCAAUGGAUAACGUGUCUGACUACGGAUCAGAAGAUUCUAGGUUCGACUCCUGGCUGGCUCG